AGGCCUUGGCUGCCCCAAGAGGAAAUAUGGGGAUCUCUUGCUGUUCUGGGAUGAGCCGAUCUAAUAGCUUUCUGGUAGAAGUCUUUCCAGGGCCCUUCAAGUGACAUUGUGCUGGUUUUUAUCGCUCAGUCUCAGAUGUAAGUAAUCCCCAUUUCCCAAGUUCCUUAGAGACUAACAUGAUACUUCAUAUUGAGAGCUAAAUAUGGAGUCCUAGAAUGAGAGAGAGUAAAGUACCCUGCCAAAGCGCCCUUCUAAGAAGCUCAGCAGCAAGGACAAACCACAGCACGUCACUUCUGUUCUUCAUCAGUGGACUCACAGGGUCACAGGCUUCCUUCCCACCCUCCAGCUCUGAGCCUUCCCACAGAUGAAUCCCUGACCCAGACAACUGCUUUCCUCUGAAGCACAUAAAGGCCUGAUGAACACAGCCAUGUGAAGUCUCCAGUGCAGAUACAUUUGUCACUGGUGGCUCUUACAUCUCCCAUUCAGUUCCUUGGGGGUGGGGGAUAGCAAGGAAAACAGGCUUUUUGUUGUUUUUCUAGAAAAUAUUUCUUUGAAAAACAUCACAUAUCCCAAUCCCAAUCUUAUCAGCCCUCUCUACCCUUGGACCCCCCCCCCCCGCCCCGAAAGAAAAUAAAAAAAUAAACCAAACACUAAAAACAUCUCGUUGUGGAAGCUGUAGUGUAUGCGUCCCGCAGUGCACCCUUUUGUCCACACAUCUUUACUUGCAAAUGCUCAUUGCAAUGAGACAUUGGUCUGCUUUGAGGCCUCUGACUUCUGCCAUAGCAUCUCUUGGAUAGCCUGUUGUUGCCCUGUGUCUCAGAGAUCCUGCAGCAGGUUCCCUUUCACACACUCUAGCAAUUCAUAGAUGAGGUAGAUGUUGGGGGUGGGCCAACUCACAACCCUGGAUCUUAGCUUGAGUGGUAGCUGAGUUGCUCAGCCCAGCAGCCCUGCCGUACCCACACCACCAAAGUCAGUUCUCCAGUACUACCCUGGCUCGCUCACUCAGUGCUGCGGCUGGCAAGGGGCAGGGCAGGCUUUUCCUUGCUCACAUCCUUGUGGCCCACUCCGCCAUGCUCCCACCACCAGGGCCAGGUCUACUGGGCUGCCCAGGUGAGGUGCAGUGUAUGCUCUCC
rnacentral:lncRNA from 1 species